rnacentral:lncRNA from 1 species
CUUCUCUCUUUCCAACUGCCUCCCAAAUUCCAACCUUGUCAUGGCAUAAGCGAGACAAGAAAGCUAUUAGAUGCUCUCGUACAUCAGCAGAAGCCAUAGUUAUGAGAGCGAUCAGGACUCUUUUAGCUUCUGCAUCAUCUAGGUAACACGAUAGACUGCUGUUUCCGUACAAACUCGCCAUAGCCUCCAAGAUCCGCUCUUGGAUUAACUUUGUGUCAAGAGGCUUUAGUAACUUCACCAAAAUGCUCUCUAUCACUCUUGGAUCAAAUAUCUUCUCUGAACUCUCUGGUUGUUUGAAAAUCAUUAGAGCAUAGGCAAGAGCUCCAAUUACAUCACCAAUUGGUUCCGUUAGACGAGGGGAUUGUGAUACUUCUCCAAGAUAUAUAAUUAAAUGGCUCAUCCCACCAAACACAUUCGCCAACGCUCCAGUUGCAUGUUCUUGUAAAGCUUGUCCAUUUUCUCCCUGCAUACACUCUUUCGAUGGAGCAACAAUGGCUCCAAUGAGAGCAUUAACACCUCCUGCAUCUUUAACGCAUUUCUUAGCUUCAUCGGAUCUUGAUGAAAGAGCUUCCAAAGCAUCUGCUGCACUAGCACGGACUUUGGUAUCAUUUUUCUGUUCCAAAAGCUGUACCAGAGACUUGACAACCCCAGAAUUUAAUAUUUUCUGGAUAAUAUCACAAAAGGACAGCACAAGACGAGCCAGGAGAGACGCAGCAUUUGCCUGAGAAUUAGGAUUGUCAGAUGACAAAAGAGACACGACUAUGUCUAUACCACUACCCUCAAGUACCACUCUCCAAUAACCAUCAUCCACACCACAGAGAUUCCUCAAAGCUCCAGUAACGUACCCUUCAACCACUCUAUCCUGCUUUCCUUUCAAGCUAAGUUGAUCCCACAAAGUCGGCACCACACCUUCUGUGAUAAAUAUCUUCAUGCCAAUGUGAUCAUCGGAAACUCCAGCAGAAGAAACCUCAUAUAUAGCCUCUGCCGCUGCUUUCCUAGUAUCAAUGGUUCCGGACUUCAAAACCGAGAGUAACGGAGGGAUGCAUCCUCCUAGAAGCACUUUGAGUCGCAACUCCUUGUCUUUGCAUAAAACACAAAGGAUAGAAGCGACGUUGACUUUGGCCAAAGCCGUCCCAUUUCUAAGCAUGGAAAUGAACAAAGGCAUAGCUUGGGGAUACGAACCAAUCAGCCUCCUUGCCUCCUUUCUGCUUUUCGCAAUACCAAGUAGACGAGCUGUAGUGAGCUCUUUGUCUUGCGGAGAAGAUGCUUUGCUGUGGAGUUGCUCUAUGAGCUGAGCAACCGUAGCCAUUGCCUUCUCUGGAUCGUCCAUUUCCAUUUUCACAUCGCCUUCCCUGCACAUAUUUAGGCAAUGAGUACGUCUUCAGUUGUCAGAAAAUGAAAACAUGCCUACCUGGAUUGAGAGGAAGACAAAGUUUCCUCCAGAGCCACAGGAAGAAAUGUCUUCAACAUCUGCAUAAUCAUUCGCCUUUAAUCUUCCUUCAGCCUUUUGGUAAACCUAAAAGAAAAGAAGAAGAGCCCUUUAAAAACUGCAAGCACAAACCAGAUUAUCUUUACACCUACACUAGAGACUCUAUACGAAAAUCAAAACUCAUCCAGUGCCUAAAGACCCCACCUUUAGCUCAAAUAAUAAACCCCUCCUCCGCCUUGCAUCACCGAGAAAUCUCUAAAUUUGAAACUCAGCGAUUCUGUAGAUUCAAAAGAAGGUUCGUGAAUCAGAAACGAAACGAAACGAUAGAAUCCCUAGGGCAGAAAGUAGAAUCGAGGAACUAAGAAUGGAUUCGAUUGGGGAGUUAACGAGUGAAAAUCGGGAACGAGCAUUACGAUUUUGAAGGACGAGGUGGAAGCUACCACGAGAAUCUCCUUUCUCUCCUUUUUAGUCGCUGUCGAUAUCGAAAGUGGUGAAUGAAUGAGCUCGAAUGAGGAAGAAGAAGAACGUACGAGCAGUGAGAGAGAGAAGAGAACAGUCCUUUUUAUUAUUGUUUUUUUUUUUACUUUCCUUAAUAAUACAUUUUAUUUCCCCCAUCCCCUUAAUUAUCCUUUGUUAAUUAAUUAUUUUUUUUGUUUAAAUUGUCCAGUUUUCGUAAUCUCAAAUUUAUUGUUAAUGUAUAACAUUUGAGAUUAUAAGUAUUGUAUAAAAUGGAUGAAAUUGAAAUAACAUUCGUAAUUUCAAAUUCUUAUAGUUGAAAAACAAAACUUGUAUGACUUUUUAUAGAAAGAUUGAUGGGAAAUCUGAUUGUUGAAUAUUCCACGGCAGCCAUAAAUUUAAUGAAUCAAUUAGGGUAUAAUUAAUUAUGUAUUUUAUCUUAAUAAGUUACUCUUUCUAUAUAUAUAAUCAGAUAACGUACACAAGAGAACUUUUUCAUUUUACUUUAUUUAACACAUUGUGUAUGAAUCACAACUUUCAGUUGAACUUAGCAGGAUUGGAAGUUGGAGCAGUCCAACAUUGUUUUAUACCGAGUUUUAACGCAAGUUGGAGCAGACCAAAAAUACGUAUAUAAAAUAGUUUUCUUAAAGGUUUAUAAAAUGAAAAAAUGUUAGUAUAUUUGAUAAUUUUUGUAACAAGGUGAACAAUUAUAUAUGUGUGAUGUGUCAAUGGAUCUUUGUCUUCACGCUUGAGUAUUGUCCACUAUCACUCAGUUUAUUAACUCAGAAACCAAAUAUUACUGAAUAAUUUUAUCUUUGUGUUUGCAUAUCAUAUAUUGCUACUUCAAAAUUCAAGUGUGAUAUCUUCAACCAAAAAUAAUCAAAUGUGAUACAACAAUUUAGAUCGUAAUAACAAAUAUUAUUCAUCUUGUACAUACUCAAGAAACCUCCCACGCAACACAUGCUCCUAUAGAAAAAUAUUUUACAUGGGCAGAAUAAGAUUCAGCUCAUAGUUUUAAUUUAACCAAGGCGUGAUCCUCGGAUCGGCCCCCUCAGUUUUGUUAAACUAUGAUAUGUUUGUUCAAGACUGAACUCGUUUAUAUAUAUUUGUAUAUUUCCUCUCGAUCCAUGCAAUGAGUUAACUAUUUUCUAUUAGCAUUAUAACUAUAUAAGUAUUGACAUAUAUAUAGCUGUAAAUUAAGUCGGUCAAAGAGAGAUUGUUGUCUUGGUUUUGACAAACAAGUUUAAACACAUCUCUAUGUAUGUGGACAACAGAGUUACAGUAUUUAAUAUAUCAAAUAUGAACUUUCUGUGUAGUAUAGAAAAUAUAAAAUGAAAUAAAACUAUAAACGAAUUUGGAUUGUUUUGUUGCUAUUUGAAGACAUGAAUAAUAAAUUAGUAUAAAGUGUGAAGAUAGAUUGAUUGUAAAAUUGAAAGUGAAAGCUGGAAGAGCAACAACAAAACAUAGCUAACAUGGGUUUAAAACCCCACUUCCCAGUGAGACUGAUUGUCUCUAUCAUUUCCAGUUCGCAACAAAUAUGUCUGGCCCCCAUACUUUACUACUCUGUACGUAUAUUAAUACCACGUCCAAUCUUCUUCUCUUUAAUGAAAUAUAUGCAAAUGCACUUGUAUUUAAAAAGAAUUCGAUAUAAAUAAUUGGAUUCCUUCUCUCUUCCCAACUGCCUCCCAAAUUCCAACCUUGUCAUGGCAUAGGCGAGACAAGAAAGCUAUAAGAUUCUCUCGUACGUCAGCAGAAGCCAUAGUUAUGAGAGCGAUUAGGACUCUCUUAGCUUCUGCAUCAUCUAGGUAACACGAUAGACUGCUGUUUCCGUACAAACUCGCCAUAGCCUCCAAGAUCCGCUCUUGGAUUAACUUUGUGUCAAGAGGCUUUAGUAACUUCACCAAAAUGCUCUCUAUCACUCUUGGAUCA